rnacentral:rRNA from 1 species
UACAGAGGGUGCGAGCGUUGUCCGGAUUCACUGGGUUUAAAGGGUGCGUAGGCGGCUAUUUAAGUCAGUGGUGAAAGCUUCCCGCUUAACGGGAAAACUGCCAUUGAAACUGAAUAGCUUGAGUACGAUUGAUGUGGGCGGAAUACAUCAUGUAGCGGUGAAAUGCUUAGAUAUGAUGUAGAACACCGAUUGCGAAGGCAGCUCACAAAAUCGCAACUGACGCUGAGGCACGAAAGCGUGGGGAUCAAACAGG